UGGGGAAUUUUGGACAAUGGGGGCAACCCUGAUCCAGCAAUACCGCGUGUGUGAAGAAGGCCUUCGGGUUGUAAAGCACUUUUGUCCGGGAAGAAAUCCCCUGCCCUAAUACGGCGGGGGAUGACGGUACCGGAAGAAUAAGCACCGGCUAACUACGUGCCAGCAGCCGCGGUAAUACGUAGGGUGCGAGCGUUAAUCGGAAUUACUGGGCGUAAAGCGUGCGUAGGCGGUGAUGUAAGACCGAUGUGAAAUCCCCGGGCUCAACCUGGGAACUGCAUUGGUGACUGCAUUGCUCGAGUAUGGCAGAGGGGGGUGGAAUUCCACGUGUAGCAGUGAAAUGCGUAGAGAUGUGGAGGAACACCGAUGGCGAAGGCAGCCCCCUGGGCCAAUACUGACGCUCAUGCACGAAAGCGUGGGGAGCAAACAGGAUUAGAUACCCUGGUAGUCCACGCCCUAAACGAUGUCAACUGGUUGUCGGGCCUUCAUUGGCUUGGUAACGUAGCUAACGCGUGAAGUUGACCGCCUGGGGAGUACGUCG
rnacentral:rRNA from 1 species